rnacentral:rRNA from 1 species
CAUGCAAGUCGAGGGGCAGCGAGAUUGGAGCUUGCUUCAAUUGUCGGCGACCGGCGGACGGGUGCGUAACGCGUAUGCAACCUACCCAUAACAGGGGGAUAACACUGAGAAAUUGGUACUAAUACCCCAUAACAUCUCGAGUGGCAUCACUUGGGGUUGAAAGCUUCGGUGGUUAUGGAUGGGCAUGCGUUGUAUUAGCUAGUUGGAGAGGUAACGGCUCACCAAGGCGACGAUACAUAGGGGGACUGAGAGGUUAACCCCCCACAUUGGUACUGAGACACGGACCAAACUCCUACGGGAGGCAGCAGUGAGGAAUAUUGGUCAAUGGACGGAAGUCUGAACCAGCCAUGCCGCGUGCAGGAUGACGGCUCUAUGAGUUGUAAACUGCUUUUGUACGAGGGUAAACCCGAAUACGUGUAUUCGGCUGAAAGUAUCGUACGAAUAAGGAUCGGCUAACUCCGUGCCAGCAGCCGCGGUAAUACGGAGGAUCCAAGCGUUAUCCGGAUUUAUUGGGUUUAAAGGGUGCGUAGGCGGUCAGAUAAGUUAGAGGUGAAAUUCCGGUGCUUAACACCGGCGCUGCCUCUAAUACUG